rnacentral:rRNA from 1 species
AGAGUUUGAUCCUGGCUCAGGAUGAACGCUGGCGGCGUGCUUAACACAUGCAAGUCGAACGAAGCACUUUAUUUGAUUUCUUCGGAAUGAAGAUUUUGUGACUGAGUGGCGGACGGGUGAGUAACGCGUGGGUAACCUGCCUCAUACAGGGGGAUAACAGUUGGAAACGACUGCUAAUACCGCAUAAGCGCACAGGGUCGCAUGACCUGGUGUGAAAAACUCCGGUGGUAUGAGAUGGACCCGCGUCUGAUUAGCCAGUUGGCAGGGUAACGGCCUACCAAAGCGACGAUCAGUAGCCGACCUGAGAGGGUGACCGGCCACAUUGGGACUGAGACACGGCCCAAACUCCUACGGGAGGCAGCAGUGGGGAAUAUUGCACAAUGGGGGAAACCCUGAUGCAGCGACGCCGCGUGAGCGAAGAAGUAUUUCGGUAUGUAAAGCUCUAUCAGCAGGGAAGAAAAUGACGGUACCUGACUAAGAAGCACCGGCUAAAUACGUGCCAGCAGCCGCGGUAAUACGUAUGGUGCAAGCGUUAUCCGGAUUUACUGGGUGUAAAGGGAGCGUAGACGGAUGGGCAAGUCUGAUGUGAAAACCCGGGGCUCAACCCCGGGACUGCAUUGGAAACUGUUCAUCUAGAGUGCUGGAGAGGUAAGUGGAAUUCCUAGUGUAGCGGUGAAAUGCGUAGAUAUUAGGAGGAACACCAGUGGCGAAGGCGGCUUACUGGACGGUAACUGACGUUGAGGCUCGAAAGCGUGGGGAGCAAACAGGAUUAGAUACCCUGGUAGUCCACGCCGUAAACGAUGAUU